rnacentral:rRNA from 1 species
UGGGGAAUUUUGGACAAUGGGGGAAACCCUGAUCCAGCCAUCCCGCGUGUGCGAUGAAGGCCUUCGGGUUGUAAAGCACUUUUGGCAGGAAAGAAACGUCAUGGGUUAAUACCCCGUGAAACUGACGGUACCUGCAGAAUAAGCACCGGCUAACUACGUGCCAGCAGCCGCGGUAAUACGUAGGGUGCAAGCGUUAAUCGGAAUUACUGGGCGUAAAGCGUGCGCAGGCGGUUCGGAAAGAAAGAUGUGAAAUCCCAGAGCUCAACUUUGGAACUGCAUUUUUAACUACCGGGCUAGAGUGUGUCAGAGGGAGGUGGAAUUCCGCGUGUGGCAGUGAAAUGCGUAGAUAUGCGGAGGAACACCAAUGGCGAAGGCAGCCUCCUGGGAUAACACUGACGCUCAUGCACGAAAGCGUGGGGAGCAAACAGG